CUUGUCUUCCUCUUUUGAAAUAUUUUGGAAGGAGAGUUAAGAAUAGCUCAGAAACUGGUCUCAUUCUUUUUGUCAGAAGAAUGACCAGAAGCAUAAAAGCUAAGUCUUCCAGCAAGUGCAAGACACCUCUUUCAGUGUUUGCAGUAAACCUAACAAGAGUGAAUUGCUAUCAGUAAAGUCCUGUACCAUGACACCCAGAAUGAAGGAACUGGUAAAGCAAAGUAAUAACUCAAAGACCAUCACCGAGGGCUUUUGUCUACCUUUAACUCAUUGUGGAACUUGACAUCAUCAGACAGUAAAUCAAGAGGUACUGACAACUAAGGCUGAAUGAUAGUCCCUGCCUAGGAUUUGGAAUCUUUGCAUGAAACAGGACUGUAAACACCAGCGACAAAGAAGUCAGGGAGACUGUUGUCUCUAGGAAACACUUCCAGGAAACAGGAAUGCAGGCAAAGUUGGACAUCCCAAAGAUGGCGUAGAUGAACAUGACCAGGAAAAGCAAGAGGCCGAUGUUAAACAAUGCAGGAAGGGACAUCAUCAAAGCAAAGAGCAGCGUGCGGAUCCCCUUUGCUCCUUUGACUAGACGUAAGAUUCGGCCAAUCCUGGCAAGACGGAUCACUCGGAACAGGGUAACAGAGAUCUCUGGAGGUGAAACAUUGCUCUGAAUUGGUAUUGAUUCUAGUUCAGCUCUUAUAGACCAAUUACCAACUUCUCUGUCUCCCUCCAGUGCCUGGAACUGGACCUGGCACACAGCUAUAGCUGAAUCAGCAUGGAAUGGAGUCUUCUGACUUACCAACAAACUCUGGUAAGUAUUACGCAUUAAAACAAACUCCAAAACACUAAUAAAGGAAUGCUAACCAAGGUCUCAAUUUUUGUCUUACCAUCUGUGAAACAGGCUUCUGGCUCAUCGGAAUUCAUAGGUUCAGCCUCUGCUUCUUCUCCUUCUCCAGGCAAAGGGUUAUCAACUGUGCUGCACUCUGAGGAGCUUGAUUGGUUUAAUCUCUAGAAAGGAAUUCACCACCCCACCAGCACGCGGAACACAAUCAGGAAGGAGUGGAAGAAGUCGUUCAUGUGCCACCGUGGGAGUGUACAGUCAUCAUUGAUCUUGCAGACACAUUCUUUGUAGCUCUUACCAAAGAGCUGCAUGCCGACCACAGCAAAAAUGAAGACGAUGAUGGCCAACACUAAGACCUCAUGAACUGAGCAGAGUACAUGAUGAUCAAUGACUCAGUUUGAAAAGAACAAUUAGUGAAAUGGAGAAUGCAAGCUACAUCUGAAACAGCCUUUAGACUAAAGAGAAAACAAAUAUUACAUACCCUGAAUCUGUGCUGAAACCACAAAGGAGAGCAUCUUUGGAUCCCUCCAAGUCAAAUAAAAAAUCUGAUUAUUAGGAGACUUUUGGAGUAAUCAUGGAAGAAAGACUAUGAAAUCAGAUAUUCUUGGAUUUGAAUGUUGCUUCUAUCCCUUCUUAAGUAAAUUGGAGACAAUUUGCAAUUCAUUUUAUUAAUAUUUCUUCUUCAAGGGACCAUCUGACACACUGCAAACACUCAAAGUUACGAAAGAAGAGUUGGAAUGAGGGGAAAAACUGAAUGAAAAAAACAGAUGUUGAAGGAGAGAAGGAAGAUGAUAAACCAAAAAGGUGAUAACACCUGGCAAUCUAGCAGUCCCCAACCUUCUUGGCACCAAGGACUGGUUUCAUGGAAGACAAUUUUUCCUGGGCAGUAGGAUGAACAGGUAUUUCCCAUUGUGUGUAGUGGUGAUGGAAGUCAGAGCCCUGACACUUGCCGUGGAAAGCUAAAGUGACUAAAGUGACUGUAUUUCCAUUCAACUCCUGUUAUUGUGGAUUAGAUUGCAUAUUUUGAUCUACAACUUUUAAAAAUGUUUUCCACUGACAAAAAAGAACGUUGCAAUGAAUUUUUAUUCCCUUCCUUGAGUACAUAUAAUUUCUCCUGUUUCAUUAAAGGAUCAAAUUCUUCAAGGGGACAUGGAUGCAGCUAGAAACCAUCAUUCUCAGCAAACUAUCGCAAGAACAGAAAACCA